UUUAAAGAGUGCGUAAUAGCUCACUAGUCGAGUGCCGCUGCGCCGAAAAUGUACCGGGGCUAAACAUAAUACCGAAACUGUGGGUGGACACGUAAGUGUCCGCGGUAGGAGAGCGUUCUAAGGGCGAUGAAGCUAGAUCGUAAGGACUAGUGGAGCGCUUAGAAGUGAGAAUGCCGGCAUGAGUAGCGAAAGAUCAGUGAGAAUCUGAUCCACCGUAUGACUAAGGUUUCCUGGGGAAGGCUCGUCCUCCCAGGG
rnacentral:rRNA from 1 species